UACAGGGUAUUGAACAAUUCCUCACUUCCUCGGCUCGCCUUCAGAUCUCCCCUCACCUCCGUUGGUUACAGAGAAGCAGCAAUUCCAGGAGCGUUUCGACUUUGCCAACUCAUCCUCUCGGGAGCAAUCGAGUUUUGACGAGUUUUGUACGAUUUGGUGAAGGUUGGAGCUUGUUUACAGAAGAUCCAGAAUUCAUCAAGAACAUCCCCUGUUCGUCUUUAAGUUUCAGAUUACACAUAAUUCACCAAGAACAGGUUGCUAGUUUCUAAGUCUUCCGGCAUUGAUCAUGAUGGAAGUAUCGAAGAAGAACACAGUUGUAUUCACUAACUGAUUAUGCUGGUGGUUUGAAAGCUGGAAGUAGGAUUGAAUUCAAGGAAAGCUAGUUUUAGGAAAAUCAGUUGUAACAGUUGUACCAAACGCAGUGAACAAGUCCUCAUCGAAGGAAGACGACACUUUGGAAAAGAAGAAGGCUUUCUUCUUGCUCUUCUAGCAAUAAGGAAGACGAGGAGGAUGUAAACGUCGAUUUGACAGAACAGAAGAAAGCCAAUGUCGUUUAUUCCAUUUGAAUCCAUGACCUCAAAACUUUCUAGAUGUUCUCUUUUUUUUUGAAUAAAAGUUUAGAAUGUACAUGUCUCUUUAAAUAUAUAUUGAAUCUUCGUUUAUAGAUUAAGCUCAAGGAGAACUAGGGUUCUUAAAUAUCAAAACGAAAACAGCCAUUACAAAGCCAAGAAACAGAAAAUAAAGUAAUGCAAAAUCGAGUAUUUCUUAAACUAAGGUUAUUUUUUUGUCAUCUCUAAACCCUAAACCCCAAAACUAAACAUAUUUUUAAACUCUACACAUUAACAUAAAAACUUCAAUCUUUUCAUAAUAAUAUUAAACUUAAACUAAAAUUUUUUCUAAGAAAAUCUAAUAUGAAAUUUAAAUUCUAAACCUCACACACAAAAUCCUAAAUCUACGCCCUAUAUCUAAUACCCUAAACCCCAAACUUAAACCCUACUUACAAAAUCAUAAAUCUAAUCUUUUCAAACCUAUGAUAUAUACUUAAAAUUUAACUUUAAGUAUAUUCUAAAACUCAAGCCAUAUAUUUUAAUUCUAAAUCUUAACCCUAAACCUUAAACAACAUACCUCAUAUUAACAUAUAUCAUAAAACAAUAAGUCUUAGCUUUAAAUAAAUUAUAAUUCCUUUAAGACAUUUAUGCUAUUCUGAACUAUAUACAACUUUUAUAUCUUAAUUCCUAUAAGAUACAUAUAUUACUCCAAACUAUAUACUCUAAAUUUUAACACUAUUUAUCUUAACCCUAAAUACUAUUUUAAACUACACAUAAAACUUAAUCUUAAUACCCUAAAACGAAAACUCAAACCCUGCAUACACGACCAUAAAUUCAUCUUUUUUAUUUAAUUGGUUACAUUUUUAAAAUAUUUAAACACUAAAUUUUAAAUAUAAUGUAAAAAGUAAAUUAUUUCAUUGGUUUCUCUUAAAAAUAUUCUCACCAACACUCACCAAAUUCUUCUUCUCCUUCCCGCCGCACAUCUUGACCAAAACUAAGACACUAAAUAAAAAUAUUUAAGCUAUAACUAAAACAUUUAUUUGUGUCCUUAUUGGUCAAAAAGAAAAUAUAUGGAUCACUAUCAGUAACCGUUGAUGCAAUUGCAUCCAAUGGUUACAGUUUUUUUCAAUAUCUUUUUGUUUUUCUGUUUUAAUUUUCUUUCUCAUCUCUUUCGUUUUCUCUUCUCUCUUCCUUCUACGGCAGAUCUCCAUCUUCUCUUCUUGUAUCGUACUCUUUGUUUUUCUCUUUUCCUUAUUUUUUUUUCCCAAAAAUCUCAUCUCUUCUCUUUCUCUUCGAUCUGUUCAAUAUUCUCUUGGAUCUAUGAACCGCCUCCGAUCAAAUACAUACCAAGAUCUAUCGCGGCAUAAGUUUGCAUUACCAGGUUAAAGUGUCAGAGGUGAAUCUCGGUAUGGCUCCACCAAGUCACCUCCUAGAUUCUGAGAUACCCCAAAAGCCUAAAUCAGAAACAGGCUUGAGAGGCGAUGGAGAAACUCCGGUAUCGAGCAGACGAGGCGACAGAGAAACUAUGAUGUAUGUAGCAGACGGCACGAUAGAAGUCAACUUCGGUGACUAGGUGAUGCGACGACAACACUCUGAAGGCGGAUGCUCUGGAGGCUGGAGGCUAGAGACGGUGGAUUAGGGUUGCAGGCGGAGGCUUAGUUUAUUUUUAGGUUAAUUAUGUUUUGGCUAAUUAUGUUUUGUUUUAAUGUUUUAAUCUGUUUUUUUGUUUAAUGUGUUCUUUAAUUAUUUGUAUACUGAUUUUAAUUAAUAGAUAAAAUAAAUUUUAAUUACGAA